AACUCGUAACAAGGUUUCCGUAGGUGAACCUGCGGAAGGAUCAUUAACACGUAUCCAAACGUAAAAAACCCCCCCGUGAACAUUCAAUCCUGCUCUUGUAACCCGCGUCGUUCGCAAUCUCUGGUAAAUCAUAGCCCGAACAACUGUUAACAAUGAAUAUCUUGGUUCUC
rnacentral:misc_RNA from 1 species